AACGAACGCUGGCGGCAUGCCUAACACAUGCAAGUCGAACGAGCCCUUCGGGUCUAGUGUCGCACGGGUGCGUAACGCGUGGGAACCUUCCCUUAGGUUCGGACUAACUCCCCGAAAGGGGUGCUAAUACCGGAUAAUGUCUUCGGACCAAAGAUUUAUCGCCUUUGGAUGGUCCCGCGUUGGAUUAGCUAGUUGGUAGGGUAAAAGCCUACCACGGCGACGAUCCAUAGCUGGUCUGAGAGGAUGAUCAGCCACACUGGGACUGAGACACGGCCCAGACUCCUACGGGAGGCAGCAGUGGGGAAUAUUGGAAAAUGGGCGAAAGCAUGAUCCAGCAAUGCCGCGUGAGUGAUGAAGGCAGUAGGGUUGUAAAGCGCUUUUACCCGGGAUGAUAAUGACAGUACCGGGAGAAUAAGCUCCGGCUAACUCCGUG
rnacentral:rRNA from 1 species